CAUUGCUGUCAACGACUAGCGCCUGGCAGUACCUGCUCCACAUGCGAACUUUUCUUUGACCUUGAGAUGCUCUCUCGUGCAAACGAGAGAUGGGGAGCGGUGAGAGAAGUUUUCGGUCGAGCUCGAAUAAUACCGAUCUUGAUCGAUUUCGUCCUUCUUUUUUGUCGUGGUGCAAUUGCACCGGCGUGCAUUUUCCAAUCGGACGAGUUUUGUUUUUACAUUUGAGUUUCCUUCCGGCAGCUUUUAAAGAACAAUCGAUCGCUUACACAUUACCUUAUUUUUCCGCAAAUUUCAUAGACAUUGUGAAAUUAUCUUCAAAAAGUUGCAUCAACCCUUUAUGCUUCCGUUGCUGCUGUGUUCAAUCGCCUAUUAGGAACUUGACCUAGCCCCGGUCCUUACUCUUCACCUAUUAAGCAACUAGCGCUCAUCGAUCGUUUGGCAACGGCACGGUAACAAAAAUGCCAACGGCCGCGUGCCACGCCAGAUUGAUUCUUCACUUUCGCUUUGUGGCUGCGAUUUGAUCGCACAAAAGGUCACACGCCAAGACGAAACCCCGCUAACGCAUUUGCGGAACUCUUGUUUAAAAUAGGCACGUUGCAGCGCACUGCACUGCAAGUGCAUUGAUCUUUGUACAAAGCGCGAAGCAGUCGGUCUAAUGCCACCCGGGGAAACAAGAGACAUCCCUGCACAAUUUAACGAAUACAUUAAAACAGUUUUAUUGUGUACAGUGGUGUUAAACUUAUCUAAUGGAAAAUAGAUAAAUCCGGCAGAUUAUCAUUGUUGCCGAAACCGAACUGCUGUCUUUCCAUUUGCUGUUGCUGCUGCGUCGAACUCGACGUCUUCAUGGGAUCGUUCUUGAUCGUGACGGAGUCGGUACAAUCCUUCACCUUAUAAAUGCCCACGAGAUAGUCCGACAGCUCAAACAUGUUGGAACGCAGCGAAAUGAUUAUAAACUGUGCAUUCUUGCAGGAGCUCCGCCCAUUCCCCAUUUACCUUAAUGUAGUGCGCAACGAUUGAUACGUUUUUAAAGUCUAGCGCCG